rnacentral:rRNA from 1 species
UACGUAGGGUGCGAGCGUUGUCCGGAAUUACUGGGCGUAAAGAGCUCGUAGGCGGUCUGUCGCGUCGGCUGUGAAAACCCGGGGCUCAACCCCGGGCGUGCAUUCGAUACUGCGCGGCUCGAGACAGGUAGGGGAGAUCGGAAUUCCUGGUGUAGCGGUGAAAUGCGCAGAUAUCAGGAGGAACACCGGUGGCGAAGGCGGAUCUCUGGGCCUGUUCUGACGCUGGAGGCGCGAAAGCUAGGGGAGCGAACAGG